rnacentral:rRNA from 1 species
UAGCAAUAAUCUAUAAGAGACAAAUUAAACUUGAUUAAGUUGACAAUUUA